ACUACGAGUAAAGAUGCUCGUUUCGCGCAGCAGGACGGAAAGACCCCGGGACCUUUACUACAGUUUGAUAUUGGUGUUCGGUUCGGCUUGUGUAGGAUAGGUGGGAGACUUUGAAGCCGUGACGCCAGUCAUGGUGGAGUCGCCGUUGAAAUACCACUCUGGUCGUGCUGGAUGUCUAACCUCGGUCCGUGAUCCGGAUCAGGGACAGUGUCUGAUGGGUAGUUUAACUGGGGCGGUUGCCUCCCAAAGGGUAACGGAGGCGCCCAAAGGUUCCCUCAGCCUGGUUGGCAAUCAGGUGUUGAGUGUAAGUGCACAAGGGAGCUUGACUGUGAGACCGACGGGUCGAGCAGGGACGAAAGUCGGGACUAGUGAUCCGGCGGUGGCUUGUGGAAGCGCCGUCGCUCAACGGAUAAAAGGUACCCCGGGGAUAACAGGCUGAUCUUCCCCAAGAGUCCAUAUCGACGGGAUGGUUUGGCACCUCGAUGUCGGCUCGUCGCAUCCUGGGGCUGGAGUCGGUCCCAAGGGUUGGGCUGUUCGCCCAUUAAAGCGGUACGCGAGCUGGGUUUAGAACGUCGUGAGACAGUUCGGUCCCUAUCCGCUGUGCGCGUAGGAAUAUUGAGAAGGGCUGUCCCUAGUACGAGAGGACCGGGACGGACGAACCUCUGGUGUGCCAGUUGUCCUGCCAAGGGCAUGGCUGGUUGGCUACGUUCGGGAGGGAUAACCGCUGAAAGCAUCUAAGCGGGAAGCCUGCUUCGAGAUGAGUAUUCCCACCUCCUUGAGAGGGUAAGGCUCCCAGUAGACGACUGGGUUGAUAGGCCGGAUGUGGAAGCCCAGUAAUGGGUGGAGCUGACCGGUACUAAUAGGCCGA
rnacentral:ncRNA from 1 species